rnacentral:tRNA from 1 species
GUUUUAAUAAUUUAUGCAAUAAAAUAUUGGUCUUGUAAACCAAAAAAAAGGAAUCUUUUAAAACU